GCUCGUGUCGUGAGAUGUUGGGUUAAGUCCCGCAACGAGCGCAACCCUUGAUCUUAGUUGCCAGCAUUCAGUUGGGCACUCUAAGGUGACUGCCGGUGACAAACCGGAGGAAGGUGGGGAUGACGUCAAAUCAUCAUGCCCCUUAUGACCUGGGCUACACACGUGCUACAAUGGAUGGUACAAAGGGCAGCGAAGCCGCGAGGUGGAGCCAAUCCCACAAAACCAUUCUCAGUUCGGAUUGCAGGCUGCAACUCGCCUGCAUGAAGCCGGAAUCGCUAGUAAUCGCGGAUCAGCAUGCCGCGGUGAAUACGUUCCCGGG
rnacentral:rRNA from 1 species